rnacentral:tRNA from 2 species
GCGUCUGUAGCCCAACUGGCCGAGGCACCGGAUUUAAGUCCCGGCAAGUGUGGGUUUGACCCCUACCAGACGCACCA